AGCGAGUCGAUAAAUUUAAGAAGAGACUCCGCCAAAAACAAGAAGGAAGGACCACGCCCUGCUCUAGUCGAGUCAUUGAACUUUGUGCAUGGCGCGCACCUGAAAAUAGAACGAGCGCACACGCGCUCUAUAUAAAGAAAUGCGUGAAAAAUAAAAAGAGGCGAACGAACGAACGAACGAACGAAGAGGGUGUGUUAAAGAGAGGGGGGAAAAGAAGCUUACGGACACAACAACCGAGACCAGACGGUUAAAAUGGUAGAAGGAAGGAAGGUGAAUGUUUUUCCUCCUUGAGGCUGUGUCUGGGGAGAGCUUCAAGCGGGAAUGUACGACCAUAAUCUUCCUUUUUCUUUUUCGAACUGAGGCCGAACCCACCACGUAAGAGAAAGAAAAAAAACGUGAUUUAGGAGCCUGGUGACGUAAACGGGCACAGGCAAACAAGUUUUUUUUGUUUCCAGGCCUUGGAAUCUCAACUGGCAGCAGUGACUUGGAUUCCGGGCAAAAUAGAAAAAAAAAGGAUUCUAGAGCCUCUGAUGGUGUGGCCUUGUCUGCAUUCUGGCAUGGAACUUAUCUGACCCUUAGUCGAAAAAGUGAAAUCACCGGUCCCAGACCUAGCCAAGAUUAUUUCUUUUAGAAAGAGGUUAAUCGCUGAAUCUAGUUUAUGGCUUGUUCGCAUUCUGCAGUGGUGGGCUUGAACCGCUUCCAAUGGCUGCUGCACUGACCCUACAACUCAACACAGGCCUGGCUGUUUUCGAGAAAAGAGAAAAUUGUUAUUCAAAGUAGUGCAUCAAACUUUAAAGCAGCCAGACUUGUUGUAGACCUGGGGAUCUUUAACAAUGCGGCACCUUGGCACAAUGCUGACGUAAAUAACGUGACCAGCGGAGGCGUAUAUAGCGGGGGUCAUCGAUCAGCUGCUGCAAAAGAAUCUUCUUCUUCUUCUUAUUUCCAUCAUCAACAUGCAAUUCUCUUUUUUCUAUACACAUUCUGGCUGCCAGGGGAAAAACUGAAUUUUUUGAGGAUGACCUUUACGACCUGUUUCAUAACCGGUUCAUCCAGUCUGGCCAUCAUGCAUAUAUGUAAUCACCAGAAGAAAUCACAUUAGCUUUGCCACAGGAGCCAAAAUAUAAU